ensembl:lncRNA
GACCUUCUUCCACCUCCAUACACAGCCAGAAGAGUAAACACUGUGCCUACUUUACUGUACUUUAUUCGCUGCUUGAGAGUCAUGAUGAGAUAAUGACAAAGUGCUUACUGUGUUAUUAUAUUACAUUAUAUCAUUCUCGUUCUACUUUCAACACUUAGCAUUUAGGCUUUGUCAGUACUGAAACUGAUACAGUAAAGCUCUACUGACUUGAGAACGAAUUGAAACUUAGGACAGAAAAGGGAAAGGACAGAGGAAGGAAUGUGAGGAAUCUGAAUCGUCCGUGCUGUAAACGCAUUCUGGCCGAAGAAUUCAAAGAGGCAGCCAAGAAGCAGAAGAAUGGGAGGCUUGGCGCUGUGUUUGACUGUGGUAGUGACCCAAUGCCAAAUGUGACCACCUUUUGGACAGCAUGUCAUAUGUGCCAUGUGCCAAGCGAGCUGUUGGCCCAAUUGAGUCAAUCUGCAGUCUGCCAGGCGCCGAAAACACGAGAAAGCAUAAAAGCCUCUCUUUAGCAGCAGGGAGUCGCUAACUGCCUGCGAGGCCUGCUGUCUUCCCCCAGAGUUCAGGCUUUGAAGAGUGCUGUGCAUCACUUAUUCCCUUUCAUGUCUGCACUAUCUUGGGAAGCCACUGCAAGGGAGAUUUCAAAGGGGAGGACCAGAGGAGGGCAAGACUCCAGAGACCGCUCUCGCCCUUCCACUAGGCCUGAAGGAGAAAUUCCAAAAACGCUCAGCAGCAGCAGUACACAUACAGUAUGGUAGAGCAACAAUAGCUGAAUUUAGAACAGACAAAGAGUGUCAGCCAUUUUGUGGGCUUUAAGUGUGCAUUUUAAAACAGAGGAUAAUUACAGUUGAAGGCAAAAGUUGCACCCUGCAAAGUUUCUAGCUGGAAGGAAAAUUGAAUGAAGAAGCAAAAAUCUAAUUAAAUAAUUUUGAAAUGUAAUGUGGGUCUCAUGCAAUCAGGCAAAAUCUACAGAAAAGUAGCAUCCAUCCAUCUGCUAUACUGCUUAUCCUUCAGGGUCACAGGAAUCUUGGAGCCUAUACCAGGGACCAUCGGGCACAAGGUGGGGUACACCCUGGUCAGGGUGCCAAUCCAUCAUAGGGCACAAUCACACACACCCAUUCAUACACUACGGACACUUUGGACAUGCCAAUCAGUCUACCAUGCAUGUCUUUGGACUGGGGGAGGAAACCGGAGUACAUGGAGGAAACCCCACAGCACGGGGAGAACAUCCAAACUCCACACACACAGGACAGCGGCUGGAAUCGAACCCCCAGCCCUGGAGGUGUGAAGUGAACGUGCUAACCACGUUUAGAAAGGGUGAUGAAAACAUUUGAAGUGAUAUAUUUAUUUUCUCACAAUAUAUAAAAACAUAUGCUAUUUAACUAUUUUUGUUGUUAACUAUAAUGUAGGAACAUCUGUAAAGCCUAACAUUUUGCCCAGAACUUAUACAAACAUUUGCACUCAUCUAUGAGGUUAGUGUACAGACCUUUUAAAUGUAACAGGAAGCAGAGUUUUAUGCUCAUGAUCUGAGUUUAUGUUUUACAUUUGUGUCUUAACAUUUCU